UACGUAGGGCGCAAGCGUUGUCCGGAAUUAUUGGGCGUAAAGGGCUCGUAGGCGGUUUGUCGCGUCGGGAGUGAAAACACACAGCUUAACUGUGUGCUUGCUUCCGAUACGGGCAGGCUAGAGUUCGGUAGGGGAGACUGGAAUUCCUGGUGUAGCGGUGAAAUGCGCAGAUAUCAGGAGGAACACCGAUGCGAAGGCAGGUCUCUGGGCCGAUACUGACGCUGAGGAGCGAAAGCGUGGGGAGCGAACAGG
rnacentral:rRNA from 1 species